UCCCUUUAGAUCCGCGCAUGUUAUACAUGCUUGUAAAUGGUUUAAACUUUACAUGUAUUAAAGAAUGGAUGUAUAACUAAAUAUGAAUUAACUGAAGCCAUGUACUCUCUUUAUAUAUUGAUUUAAUAAGAAAUCCGGAUUUAAUCCGGAAUUGGCUUUACUUUUGUCGUUCACAAAUAUACGUCACAUUUUUACGUCAUGGAAGCAGAAGAUCAAGCUGCAGGGCGAAUUAGCUAAAGGUAAGUGUUUUCAUUUACUUGCAUUUUAAAAUUGUAUCAUACAAUGGGCGGUGGUAAUAGAGGGAACAUACCGAAAAAAUUCGGGUUGAAAGACGAUAAACGAUCGACGGACAUCAUUGUGCUUAAAAAAAGAACUACUGGAGUGCAACCAGUAUUGCUUUAUGUUGAUAAAAGAAUUAAAAGUUUAACGUUAGCUAUAGUAAAUGAAAUAAAAGUGAGUUAAAUACAGUAGUAGAAUCGCACAUUUAUAGAAUAUUUCAGAAAACGAACGGCCGGUUACCCAGUUAUUUAUAGGUCUUUCAACGUGCUCAAUACUGAAAAUAAUUUUCCCGAAAAAUCUCAACUCGGCAGCUAACGGAUUUCAGUUGAAUUAGGCUAAUCAAUUCCUAUGGGGAGCAUAAAAUAUUUGUUGAUCUAAAGAUAUAUUAAAAUAUAAAAAGUUGAAAAGUGAAAGUAGCAAAAGAACUAGAACAAAGCCUGUUGCAAAGCAACAAGUAGGUCUUGACUUCCAUUUGCAGCUAAGGGAACAAAAAAGUCGUCUGAAUUAAGUUAUAGUCUUAUAAAAUACUAAUUGAAUCAUUUUUUAAAAAGUUUAUAGGAAUGCAUCAAUGAAACGAAUGUAGGAUAUCAACUUUAACUCAGUGACAGAUGUGUCUCUAAAUUUAUAAAAUGUAUGGGAUAGGAUAGGAUAGGAUAGAGCUUAUUUUCAGGAUAGGAUGCAGAAUACAGGAUAUAGGGAAGGAUAAGCAAAUGGAUGUCAUUUAAGAUUUGUCUGGAGGAAGUCUGAAGACAUUCAGAAGAACAAUCUAGGAUCAAGACUUGAGUUCAAAGAUAGCAGAAUAAGCUGCACUGUGGUUGCAAUAAUUGUGAAAAAUAAUGAAAGAAGUCCAAACAUGCCUCUUUAAGGAAAAACAUUGAAAAGUUGGAGUUGGGCAGAAAUCUGGCAGCGAGGCUGAAUAUACUCAUCAGAGAAACUGGAAAUUUUGAAGACGAUUUUUAAGACUGAUAUUGAAGACUGAUUUUGUAUUGGAGCUGAUUGAAAUUAAAUUGAAUGUG